ensembl:lncRNA
UAUUUUAUUAAUUAUUUUAAUAAAUAUUUAUGCACUUCUAUUAUUGUAUUUAAUGUAUACUGUUAUAGAAUGAUAUCUUGUUACAAAUGUGGAAUUAUUAUAUGAAGUGUUUCCCACGGACUUACACUCUAUGUGUGGCGGCACUUCCCCGGGGAAAUAUAUAUACAUGUUCACAUUUACAACUGUGCUCUGUGUGUUUUUUUGCAUGGGUCUGAACGAAAACUGCAGACGGGCUGAUUGAAAAUGCAAAUUCAUUCUCUGCCAGCAGGAGGCACUUUGGGAACGGCAGAAAUUUGGUUCCCCCAGUAACGGCUAAUGUGAUUCAAGCUUUUAAACAUGGGAAAUGAAUCACUUCCACUAAUUCAGUGACCACAUUUAGAUGACGGAGUGAAUGUGCAUAACCUGAAAAAUAAUGUGGUCAACUCUUUGGUGACUUGUACCUAGAGUGGUGGAAAGGGAGGGACAGCCGCAUGUCUUUACGAAAAGCAAGACACCCCCUCCCGACUUCAGUCACUCGCUCCUCUUCCUGUCUAAGGAAAGGGAGGAAGAAGGAAACGGGGAUUAAAGCUUGCAUAGAAAGAGUGUGAGACUAAACUGAUGCUUUCUUCUAUCGCUUUUCUUCUUCCUUCGGCCCAAAUAAAAGGUGUGAUAACCAAGAUGGGUCCAGUUCUGACUGAGGUUAAUGUGAAGGGACCCCAUGUCUUCCAGAUGUCACAUGACACCAAGCAAGGAGUAGUAUCAGUCUUGUGCUGGUUUGGAGGCUGUCCUGAACUUCACCUGUGGUUUACAUGCCUUACAAACAGUCUAAACUGUGCAUCUUGUUUUUUUUUAAAGCUGCUUUGAAUCAAUGGUGAGGGUGAAACAAAGGCCAUGAGAUUAACGAGAGGAGAACAUGUCUUCAAAUGGUCUCAUUGUGUUCAUAAAGAAGCACUUACAGGAUUGGAACAACAUGAGGGCGAGUAAAUUAUGUUUUUUUUUUUUUUUUUUUUAAUUUUGGGUGAACUAUCCCUUUAAACUGAGAAAAUCUUCUUUGCAACAUUUUAGCUCUGUUUUAGCUCUUAAUACUGGCAAUCAUAAAGUAGAUACAUGUGAGAUCUCACUUGAGCUUUGCAGAUGUCUUUAUGGAUAGUGUAAGGUGUUAACACAGAGCCAGCUCACAGGUGUUUGGCCAAGACCUCGGUAUUUAAAAACUCCUCAAAAAUGAAACAGAAAGCCUAAAAUAUCAGGCACUGUUUUCAUUUUGUAAACCUGUAAAAGCAGGAUAAAGACCUAACCUACCGAGCUCAGUCCAGUAUUUCACCCUGAACAAACGGAGGUCAGCUCAGUGUGAUAACAUGCCUGCCACUUUCCCAAAGUUUCUACACUGACUUCUCAGCAGCUGCCACGUGGCAGGCAAAUCUGUCUUUAGUAGGUUAGUAUAAAAGAAAGCUGCAAUGUGAAUGUCAAGCACAUAUCAGUUAUAGUGGGACUCAAAAGCCUGAGUGAACAUGUUUGUGUUCUAAUUUAAUACUUAAAAAAUCUACAUUUAUAUGUGUUAUAUGUAUUUCAGAGACCUAGAAAUAGAGUCAAAAACAUGGUAAAAAGUACUAUUAUAAAUGUAUGAUGAACAGCAGCGUAUACAAACAUACAUAUAUAUUUUGAAUAAAUGCUGUCCUUUUUAACUUUUUAUUCA